rnacentral:misc_RNA from 1 species
GAUGAAGAACGUAGCGAAAUGCGAUACCUGGUGUGAAUUGCAGAAUCCCGCGAACCAUCGAGUCUUUGAACGCAAGUUGCGCCCGAGGCCACUCGGUCGAGGGCACGCCUGCCUGGGCGUCACGCCAAAACACGCUCCCAACCCCCCUCAUCGGGAAUAGGGAUGCGGCAUAUGGUCCCUCGUCUCGCAAGGGGCGGUGGGCCGAAGAUCGGGCUGCCGGCGGACCGCGCCGGACACAGCGCAUGGUGGGCGUCCUCGCUUUAUCAACGCAGUGCAUCCGACGCGUAGCCGGCGUGAUGGCCUCAAAACGACCCAGCAAACGAAGCGCACGUCGCUUCGACCGCGACCCCAGGUCAGGCGGGACUACCCGCUGAGUUUAAGCAUAUCAAUAAGCGGAGGA